GAUGAAGAACGUAGCGAAAUGCGAUAAGUAAUGUGAAUUGCAGAAUUCAGUGAAUCAUCGAAUCUUUGAACGCACAUUGCGCCCCCUGGAAUUCCGGGGGGCAUGCCUGUUCGAGCGUCAUUUCACCACUCAAGCCUCGCUUGGUAUUGGGCAACGCGGUCCGCCGCGUGCCUCAAAUCGACCGGCUGGGUCUUCUGUCCCCUAAGCGUUGUGGAAACUAUUCGCUAAAGGGUGUUCGGGAGGCUACGCCGUAAAACAACCCCAUUUCUAAGGUUGACCUCGGAUCAGGUAGGGAUACCCGCUGAACUUAAGCAUAUCAAUAAGCGGAGGA
rnacentral:misc_RNA from 1 species